rnacentral:rRNA from 1 species
UACGUAGGGCGCAAGCGUUAUCCGGAAUUAUUGGGCGUAAAGAGCUCGUAGGCGGUUUGUCGCGUCUGCUGUGAAAACUCGGGGCUUAACCCCGGGCCUGCAGUGGGUACGGGCAGACUAGAGUGCGGUAGGGGAGACUGGAAUUCCUGGUGUAGCGGUGAAAUGCGCAGAUAUCAGGAGGAACACCUGAGGCGAAGGCGGGCUACUGGGCCGAUACUGACGCUGAUGCGCGAAAGCCAGGGGAGCGAACGGG